GUGAGGUAAUGGCUCACCAAGGCUAUGACGGGUAGCCGGACUGAGAGGUUGAACGGCCACACUGGAACUGAGACACGGUCCAGACUCCUACGGGAGGCAGCAGUGGGGAAUUUUGCGCAAUGGGCGAAAGCCUGACGCAGCGACGCCGCGUGGAGGAAGACGGCCUUCGGGUUGUAAACUCCUUUCGUGAGGGAAAAAGGUCGGCAACGACUGAUGGUACCUCAAGAAGAAGCCACGGCUAACUCUGUGCCAGCAGCCGCGGUAAGACAGAGGUGGCAAGCGUUGUUCGGAUUUACUGGGCUUAAAGGGCGUGUAGGCGUCCUGAUAAGUCAGAUGUGGAAGCCUUGGGCUUAACCCAAGAAUUGCAUUUGAAACUGUCGGGAUUGAGUCGUGCAUGGGAGGGCGGAAUUCCUGGUGUAGCGGUGAAAUGCGUAGAUAUCAGGAGGAAGGCCGGUGGUGAAGACGGCCCUCUGGGCAAUGACUGACGCUGAGGCGCGAAAGCGUGGGUAGCAAACAGGAUUAGAUACCCUGGUAGUCCACGCCCUAAACGGUGGGUACUAGGUGUAGGUGGCGAUAGUCAUCUGUGCCUAAGGUAAACCGUUAAGUA
rnacentral:rRNA from 1 species